GACGAACGCUGGCGGCGUACCUAAUACAUGCAAGUCGAGCGGACUUUCAAGAAGCUUGCUUUUUGAAAGUUAGCGGCGGACGGGUGAGUAGCACGUGGGCAACCUGCCUGUAAGACGGGGAUAACUCCGGGAAACCGGGGCUAAUACCGGAUAAUAUCUUUCUUCGCAUGAAGGAAGGUUGAAAGGCGGCGCAAGCUGCCGCUUGCAGAUGGGCCCGCGGCGCAUUAGCUAGUUGGUGAGGUAACGGCUCACCAAGGCGACGAUGCGUAGCCGACCUGAGAGGGUGAUCGGCCACACUGGGACUGAGACACGGCCCAGACUCCUACGGGAGGCAGCAGUAGGGAAUCUUCCGCAAUGGACGAAAGUCUGACGGAGCAACGCCGCGUGAGCGAAGAAGGUCUUCGGAUCGUAAAGCUCUGUUGUCAGGGAAGAACAAGUACCGUUCGAAUAGGGCGGUACCUUGACGGUACCUGACCAGAAAGCCACGGCUAACUACGUGCCAGCCGCCGCAGUAA
rnacentral:rRNA from 1 species